CAGCAGCCGCCGCGGUAAUACGUAGGGUGCAAGCGUUAAUCGGAAUUACUGGGCGUAAAGCGUGCGCAGGCGGUUCUAUAAGACAGAUGUGAAAUCCCCGGGCUCAACCUGGGAACUGCAUUUGUGACUGUAGAGCUGGAGUGCGGCAGAGGGGGAUGGAAUUCCGCGUGUAGCAGUGAAAUGCGUAGAUAUGCGAAGGAACACCGAUGGCGAAGGCAAUCCCCUGGGCCUGCACUGACGCUCAUGCACGAAAGCGUGGGGAGCAAACAGGAUUAGAUACCCCGGUAGUCCCUGUCUCUUAUAC
rnacentral:rRNA from 1 species